rnacentral:rRNA from 1 species
GAUGAACGCUGGCGGCGUGCCUAAUACAUGCAAGUCGAGCGAACAGAUGAGGAGCUUGCUCCUCUGACGUUAGCGGCGGACGGGUGAGUAACACGUGGAUAACCUACCUAUAAGACUGGGAUAACUUCGGGAAACCGGAGCUAAUACCGGAUAAUAUAUUGAACCGCAUGGUUCAAUAGUGAAAGACGGUUUUGCUGUCACUUAUAGAUGGAUCCGCGCCGCAUUAGCUAGUUGGUAAGGUAACGGCUUACCAAGGCGACGAUGCGUAGCCGACCUGAGAGGGUGAUCGGCCACACUGGAACUGAGACACGGUCCAGACUCCUACGGGAGGCAGCAGUAGGGAAUCUUCCGCAAUGGGCGAAAGCCUGACGGAGCAACGCCGCGUGAGUGAUGAAGGUCUUCGGAUCGUAAAACUCUGUUAUUAGGGAAGAACAAAUGUGUAAGUAACUAUGCACGUCUUGACGGUACCUAGUCAGAAAGCCACGGCUAACUACGUG